GACGAACGCUGGCGGCGUGCUUUACACAUGCNAGUCGAGCGAUGAGAUCCCUUCGGGGAAGGAUUAGCGGCGAACGGGUGAGGAACACGUGAGGAAUCUGCCUUCAACACUGGAUAACUCCGGGAAACCGGGGCUAAUACCGGAUACGAGACCUGCAGGCAUCUGCGGGUCUGGAAAGUUUUUCGGUUGAAGAUGACCUCGCGGCCUAUCAGCUUGUUGGUGAGGUAAUGGCUCACCAAGGCGACGACGGGUAGCCGGCCUGAGAGGGCGACCGGCCACACUGGGACUGAGACACGGCCCAGACUCCUACGGGAGGCAGCAGUGGGGAAUAUUGGGCAAUGGAGGAAACUCUGACCCAGCGACGCCGCGUGCGGGAUGAAGGCCUUCGGGUUGUAAACCGCUUUCAGCAAGGAAGAAGCGAAAGUGACGGUACUUGCAGAAGAAGCACCGGCUAACUAUGUGCC
rnacentral:rRNA from 1 species